AUUGAACGCUGGCGGCAGGCUUAACACAUGCAAGUCGAGCGGAGAUGAGGUGCUUGCACCUUAUCUUAGCGGCGGACGGGUGAGUAAUGCUUAGGAAUCUGCCUAUUAGUGGGGGACAACAUUCCGAAAGGAAUGCUAAUACCGCAUACGUCCUACGGGAGAAAGCAGGGGAUCUUCGGACCUUGCGCUAAUAGAUGAGCCUAAGUCGGAUUAGCUGGUUGGUGGGGUAAAGGCCUACCAAGGCGACGAUCUGUAGCGGGUCUGAGAGGAUGGUCCGCCACAAUAGGACUGGGACACGGCCCAGACUCCUACGGGAGGCAGCAGUGGGGAAUAUUGGACAAUGGGGGGAACCCUGAUCCAGCCAUGCCACGUGUGUGAAGAAGGCCUUAUGGUUGUAAAGCACUUUAAGCGAGGAGGAGGCUACUGAGACUAAUACUCUUGGAUAGUGGACGUUACUCGCAGAAUAAGCACCGGCUAACUCUGUGCCAGCAGCCGCAGUAACAC
rnacentral:rRNA from 1 species